UUGGCGGCGGGGGGACGCGGUGGCGGGGUGGGGCGGCGCGUCCGGCUGUCGGGGACGCUUUCCUGGCCGGGGCGCCGUGUGGAGGCGCGCUGUGCCUCGAGGCCCGGCUGGCGGGGCCCGCCAUGAGGCGCCUGGGUUCCGUGCAGCGGAAAAUGCCGUGCGUGUUUGUGACGGAGGUGAAGGAGGAGCCCUCCGGUAAGAGGGAGCAGCAGCCAUUUAAAGUUUUGGCAACUGAAACUCUAAGUCACAAGGCAUUAGAUGCAGAUAUAUACAGUGCAAUUCCAACAGAAAAAGUGGAUGGAACAUGUUGUUAUAUUACUACCUACAAAGGUCAGCCAUAUCUUUGGGCUCGGCUAGAUAGAAAACCUAACAAAUUAGCUGAGAAAAGAUUUAAAAAUUUUCUACAUUCAAAACAAAACUCAAAAGAAUUUUUUUGGAAUGUUGAGGAAGACUUCAAACCUGUUCCAGAGUGCUGGAUACCAGCGAAGGAAAUAGAACAAUUAAACGGGAAUCCAAUGCCUGAUGAAAACGGACACAUUCCUGGUUGGGUACCAGUGGAAAAAAACAACAAACAGUAUUGCUGGCAUUCCUCAGUAGUUAAUUAUGAAUUUGAAAUUGCCCUGGUACUGAAGCAUCAUCCUGAUGAUCCUGGUCUUUUGGAAAUUAGUGCAGUGCCUCUCUCAGAUCUCCUAGAACAAACACUAGAGCUUAUAGGAACAAAUAUUAAUGGAAACCCAUAUGGGUUAGGAAGCAAGAAGCAUCCAUUACAUCUUCUUAUACCACAUGGGGCAUUUCAGAUAAGAAAUCUACCCACCUUGAAGCACAAUGAUCUAUUAUCCUGGUUUGAAGGUUGCAGAGAGGGUAAAAUUGAAGGAAUAGUAUGGCAUUGCAAUGACGGCUGUUUAAUCAAGGUUCAUCGCCAUCAUCUUGGUUUAUGCUGGCCAAUUCCAGAUACUUACAUGAAUUCAAAACCAGUUGUUAUCAACAUGAAUCUGAACAACUGACUUUUAGCUAAUCUAGAACACAAUGAUUAUGAGUUCAACCAAAACCACAAAAACCAGUCAUUGAUUUAUGAAAUACAUGGGUAUUUCUUUUGAACUAUGUGAUGUAAAUUGCUGAGAACUUGCUAAUAAUUCAUAAAGGUAAAGAGUUCUUCAUUUACUCUGACUUGCAAUGCUACCUUCUCAAACUGAGAUCACUGAAUGAAAAUUCUUCAUGAUUCUUAAAAGUCUGACCUGAUGUCAUUGUUAAGUUUUCCUUUUGGAGGAAUCUCAUGAGAGUAUUCCACACAGAACCCUGUAACAACAAUCUUCUCUGUGCCUUUGGUCUUGGAUUCAUAGUGUAUGCUCAACUGACGUCCGAGGACUUGGGUGACUGGAAUAUCUAAAUGGAAAGGAUAAAGAAAAAAAGAUAAAUGCUAUUUGAUUUUACCUGGGGGCAAACAUGUCUUAGUCUGUACAUUGUAAACUGACCCAAAAGUCGUGUGUCAUAAGAGAGAUCAUAAACUACAGACUUAGACUGGUCUUUAUAUCCUGCUUCUGCAUCGCUAGAGAUGUUACUCAUGCUCCAAGCUUCCGUGUAAAAUAGAAAUAAUACUCUGCAAAAUGCUAUGAAAAUUAUACCUCAGCACAACAUAGACACAACUUUUCAUUAUAAAGUAUUUGUCAUGUGUGGCAAAGAGAUGACCAAAGAAUGUCACACAGUACGGUAACACAUUUUUACUGAUAGUAUUUACUGUAGUAAAAGUUUGUGAUGAGAUUUCAGAGCAUCCUGAAUUAGAAAUCUCUAAGGCAAAAUGAACACCUCUAAAGAGCCUGAUUUUCAUCACCCUGUUAGCUAAUUCUUUUUACAUGAGUAGUAGUGGUACAACAGUGAGUACUAUAAUGAAUUGGGAAAUGUAUACCAUUAAUUUUUGGAGGAACUAGUCAAAUAUUAGAGCUUAAGAUGAGUAUCAUGAAUAGUUAAAAAAAUUUUUUUAACAAAUCCUACACAAUUUAUUUCCAUUUGUACCAUCUAUGCACACUACCUGGUAUCAGAAAAUUCAGCUAACAAACACACACGGGGCUACCAUAGACUCACACCUGGGACACUUCAUUUCUUGGCUGGACUGGUACAUCGGUUUCACAGUUUGCCUGUGCAUCUUCCUCAGCACACGGAUCCAGUGCAGCAGCAACUGUGGCAUAACCAGGGUCCUCUCUGGUAGAUUCUUCUGGAUCCAAGUGGUUCCUGUGACUCAAAUCUUCAGCCUUGUAGCCCUUCCCUUCAUCAUUCUGGCCUACCUCAUUCUCGUCAUUGUUUUUAUGUUCCUGUUUAUUAUUUUCACAACAGUCUUGACUAAUGUUCUCAAUUUCAGGAUCUGGUUCAUUUUCGAAAAUGAACUUAACAUCUGCCAAGAUACCAUUAGUUGACCUAAAUGGACUUGGCUUGCUUUUUGGUCUUGUCUCAGAUUUAUUGAACUCUGCAGGAUCUACAAUAUCUUCUGUUGUGUGUUUUUCUUUAUUACUGUAAUACCAUAGAAUAUUUUUAGGUACCUGAUGGUAUAAGUUGUCACUGGCAUCUAUUCCCUUCCCAUUUUUAAUUCUGAAAGCUGUUUUGGGUUUUUUUCUGUUCCUGUAUAAAGUGUUCUUUUUGUGAAAAACAUUAUGCCUGUAUUUAUUAACACUGGUAGCAAGGGUAGAAAGUGCAGUUGUGUCACAUAACAGAUUCUGCUUGAAGCAGAAGAAAGAGAAGAAACGUGAAAAGAAGAAGAAAAUAAUAAAAAUAUACACACUACUUGUUUUAAAAUAAGAUACAGCAAACAACUCUAUAUUAAUGAUUUCUUAUAAAGGAAAACUAGAAAUAUAUCACACGUUUGAAUGGAAACAAUGCUAUAACAUAGUUUUCUAAUUUACCCAAUUGUAUGUUCUUGCCACAUCAAAACUGGAAAUGUAACUUCAUUUAAAAUCUCAUUUGUAAUAAAAUUCUUAUGCUUUGCA